rnacentral:rRNA from 1 species
AUUCCAGCUCCAAUAGCGUAUAUUAAAGUUGUUGCGGUAAAAAAGCUCGUAGUUGGAUUUCUACCGAAGAUAGCCGGUCGGGUCUUCGACCUUGUACCUGGUUUUGUCUUUGGUAUCCUCAUGGGGAACGUUGCCGCGCUUCACUGCGUGGUGCGGUAUCCAUGACUUUUACUUUGAGGAAAUUAGAGUGUUCACGGCAGGCAAACGCCCUGAAUAUAUUAGCAUGGAAUAAUAACAUAGGAUCUUCGUCCUAUUUUGUUGGUUUCUAGGGCUAAGAUAAUGAUUAAUAAGGAUAAUUGGGGGCAUCUGUAUCAACGCGUCAGAGGUGGAAUUCUUGGAUUGCGUUGCGACAAACUACUGCGAAAGCAUUUGCCAAGGAUGUUUUCAUCA